GGACCUUUAGCUCAGUUGGUUAGAGCNNACGGCUCAUAACCGUUCGGUCGCAGGUUCGAGUCCUGCAAGGUCCA
rnacentral:tRNA from 1 species